UACGUAGGGUGCAAGCGUUAAUCGGAAUUACUGGGCGUAAAGCGUGCGCAGGCGGUUUGGUAAGACAGAUGUGAAAUCCCCGGGCUUAACCUGGGAAUUGCAUUUGUGACUGCCCGGCUAGAGUGUGUCAGAGGGGGUAGAAUUCCGACGUGUAGCAGUGAAAUGCGUAGAGAUGUGGAGGAAUACCGAUGGCGAAGGCA
rnacentral:rRNA from 1 species